rnacentral:lncRNA from 1 species
GUUUUCUGGUCUGUGCGUCCGUUCGUCCGUUCGUUCGUCCGUUCGUUCGUCCGUUCGUUCGUCCGUCUGUCCCGCUUCAGGUUAAAGUUUUUGGUCGAGGUAGUUUUUGAUGAAGUUAAAGUCCAAUCGACUUGAAACUUGGUACACAUGUUCCCUAUGAUAUGAUCUUUCUAAUUUUAAUGCCAAAUUAGAGAUUUGACCCCAAUUUCACGGUCCACUGAACAUAGAAAAUGAUAGUGCAAAUUUCAGGUUAAAGUUUUUGGCUUCAGGUUAAAGUUUUUGGUCAAGGUAGUUUUUGAUGA